UACGUAGGGACCGAGCGUUGUCCGGAUUCAUUGGGCGUAAAGAGCUCGUAGGCGGCUGUUCAAGUCGAACGUGAAAACUCGGAGCUCAACUGUGGGCUUGCAGUCGAUACGGGCAGGCUGGAGUUCGGUAGGGGAGACUGGAAUUCCCGGUGUAGCGGUGAAAUGCGUAGAGAUCGGGAGGAACAUCAGUGGCGAAGGCGGCCAUCUGGGACAACACUGACGCUGAAGCACGAAAGCGUGGGGAGCAAACAGG
rnacentral:rRNA from 1 species